rnacentral:rRNA from 1 species
AUACGGAGGGAGCUAGCGUUGUUCGGAUUUACUGGGCGUAAAGCGCGCGUAGGCGGAUUGAUUAGUCAGAGGUGAAAUCCCAGGGCUCAACCCUGGAACUGCCUUUGAUACUGUCAGUCUAGAGACCGAGAGAGGUGAGUGGAAUUUCCAGUGUAGAGGUGAAAUUCGUAGAUAUUGGAAAGAACACCAGUGGCGAAGGCGGCUCACUGGCUCGGUACUGACGCUGAGGUGCGAAGGCGUGGGGAGCAAACAGGAUUAGAAACCCUAGUAGUCC